AUGAAGUAUCCUGGAUGGACGGCGUCGCAGGUGGAGAAGGAGCUGAGCAGCGUAGUGGCUCCUUUAGCUGAGCUCGAGAGACGUCUUAAAUAUCUGCACCCUCAGAAAAUAGAAGUAAACCGGGGCGUGUACUGGUUCCUGGCUUCUCUCCCAGAAGACAAAGCUGUGGAGACGGUGAAAACGCUGCUGAGACAAACGCGUCCUCGUGUCUCGUCGUCCACGGGCGACACCGCUGAGACUUUGGGACUUGAAGUUUCAAGCUCAGACGACGGCGUACGUGUGUUUGAUCGUGAAGUCUCCGACGUUUGUGAUAAGCAAAUACAGACGGAUCUGAUCCAGAUAACAGAAAUGUUGAAGGAGGACGACCGUCCGGGGGAUCUUCAGAGGUCAGAUGAUCCGAUUCAGGAACCUCGCUCUUGUGUUAGCAGCGAUCAAGUUAAUCCAGAUCCAGUUCCGGGUGUUCAAGAUGAAGAAAUGAUAGAAACCGUCCAGCAGGAUUCCUUUGAUCCAGAUGCAGAAGUUAAAGACGACGUCACCGACGUGUCUGGGACUCCCCGUAAGUCCCCGACUCCCUUCCACAUCUCAGAAGAAGCAGAAACCCUCGUCGGUCCGGGGCGAUGGCGUCCACCUGCUGCUGAAACACAACAGUGGAAGAGAGAUGUGCGCCAACUGGACGAAGAACUCCUCACAAGACCACAAAAGGUUCCACGUUUUCAAACCUGCGGCCUGCAGCCGCAAACUUGUGCUGAAGCAGGACAGCAGAGCCCGUCAGGACCGAGCUACAGAGCAGAAGUAGCUCCGGAACAAGGAGCAGAACCCCGAGGACAAAGAGCAUCACAGGAAGGACCCAGAGCUUUAUUAGGGGGAAAAGCUCCGAGCUGCAGCCAUUUGUCUUUCUACCUAACAGCAGGCGGAUGUGGCUCCAGACCCGUCGUCGGCAUGGCCUCCGUGUGGGAGUGCCGGGGACUUUCUCAGGACACUUUCUUCCUGUGUGAAAGCUGUGAGGACAUCCUGUCCCACAGAGACAUCUGUCUGCAUCUGGUCAGCCGGGAUCACCAGCUCAACUACCUGUGGAGGGAACGUCCCGAGGUUCUGGAAACGUUCUGGCCGAGGGAGGAUCUGCCGUCAGAGCUGAGAAAGGAAAUUUUAAACCGCGUCGUUUGGGAAUUUGCUGUGUGGGAGCGGGACAGGGUGGACACGCCGGUACCACCCAGAUGCGUUAGUCUGUGCUGCACAAACUCUUCCUGUUUCACAUUAAUCUACAGGCUUGUUUGUAUUUGUCCUAAAGUGUGUGCUGCUGGAACAGGAGCUCCAUCAGUUCGUUAGGACAGCUCACUACAUCGAAGCUCUUAAUAUUUUGAGAUUCAUCACAAAUGAAGAGACAAGUGUCCGCCUGUCCAACAGAACCACACACCAGAAAA
rnacentral:lncRNA from 1 species